rnacentral:rRNA from 1 species
UACGUAGGGUGCAAGCGUUAAUCGGAAUUACUGGGCGUAAAGCGUGCGCAGGCGGUUUUGUAAGUCAGAUGUGAAAUCCCCGGGCUUAACCUGGGAACUGCGUUUGAAACUACAAGGCUAGAGUGUGGCAGAGGGGGGUGGAAUUCCACGUGUAGCAGUGAAAUGCGUAGAGAUGUGGAGGAACACCGAUGGCGAAGGCAGCCCCCUGGGUUAACACUGACGCUCAGGCACGAAAGCUAGGGGAGCGAACAGG